GGGAGGCUCGGCUUUCUAACAGCGGGCCCUCCUCGCUCACAGCCCGGAGUGGUCCAGAGCUGAGCAAAGAAGAUCUGACGAAUCAGACAGCACAGGAGGAGGGCCGAAUAGGUGGCUGUUCUGAUCCUGUGACCUCCAUUCCCUUCUUCUCCUGUUUUCAGUGGGCUCUCAAUGUUUUUGGUUCCUGCCCUCCGACAUGGAAUUGAGACACACCCUCCUCCGAGAACCUUUCCGAAUCUCAGCAGAAUUCAUUUUUCUUGCCUCGGCGCGCCGAUGGUUUGCUGAUGUGUUAUAAUAGCUUUCUAAGCUGCUUAAACACUACCACAGAGUCCGUAGCUUCAAACUCUACACGUUUAGGGGCGCCUGGGGGGCUCAGUCGUUAAGCAUCUGACUUCGGCUCAGG